UGGGGGAUAUUGCACAAUGGGGGAAACCCUGAUGCAGCGACGCCGCGUGUGGGAAGACGGUCCUCUGGAUUGUAAACCACUGUCCCCAGGGACGAAGAUGACGGUACCUGGGGAGGAAGCUCCGGCUAACUACGUGCCAGCAGCCGCGGUAAUACGUAGGGAGCGAGCGUUGUCCGGAAUUACUGGGUGUAAAGGGAGCGUAGGCGGGACUGCAAGUUGGGUGUCAAAUCUACCGGCUCAACCGGUAGCCGCACUCAAAACUGCAGUUCUUGAGUGAAGUAGAGGCAGGCGGAAUUCCUAGUG
rnacentral:rRNA from 1 species